rnacentral:rRNA from 1 species
CAGUCGCCAGCGGGAAUACGGAGGAUCCAAGCGUUAUCCGGAAUCAUUGGGUUUAAAGGGUCCGUAGGCGGUCUUGUAAGUCAGUGGUGAAAGCCCAUCGCUCAACGGUGGAACGGCCAUUGAUACUGCAGGACUUGAAUUAUUGGGAAGUAACUAGAAUAUGUAGUGUAGCGGUGAAAUGCUUAGAGAUUACAUGGAAUACCAAUUGCGAAGGCAGGUUACUACCAAUUGAUUGACGCUGAUGGACGAAAGCGUGGGUAGCGAACAGGAUUAGAUACCCGCGUAGUCCCUGUCUCUUAUU